GCGGGUAUAGUUCAGCGGUAGAACGUCAGCUUCCCAAGCUGGAUGUCAGGGGUUCGAGUCCCCUUACCCGCUCCU
rnacentral:tRNA from 1 species